rnacentral:rRNA from 1 species
GCGGUGGAUGAUGUGGUUUAAUUCGAUGCAACGCGAAAACCUUACCCACCUUUGACAUGUACGGAAGCCUUUAGAGAUAGAGGCGUGCUCGAAAGAGAGCCGUAACACAGGUGCUGCAUGGCUGUCGUCAGCUCGUGUCGUGAGAUGUUGGGUUAAGUCCCGCAACGAGCGCAACCCUUGUCAUUAGUUGCUACAUUCAGUUGGGCACUCUAAUGAGACUGCCGGUGACAAGCCGGAGGAAGGUGGGGAUGACGUCAAGUCCUCAUGGCCCUUAUAGGUGGGGCUACACACGUCAUACAAUGGCUGGUACAAAGGGUUGCCAACCCGCGAGGGGGAGCUAAUCCCAUAAAGCCAGUCGUAGUCCGGAUCGUAGUCUGCAACUCGACUACGUGAAGUCGGAAUCGCUAGUAAUCGUGGAUCAGAAUGUCACGGCGAAUACGUUCCCGGGCCUU